rnacentral:rRNA from 1 species
CCCUUAGAUGUUCUGGGCAGCACGCGCGCUACAAUGGUCUUCGCAAACGGAUGCAUUCUCGAAGGAGAAUGCCAAUCUUGGAAUCUAUGCCUUGGUCGGGACAGUUGCUUGCAAUUUUUCGACUCGAACCAGGAAUUCCUUGUAAUCGUGAUUCAUCACAUCACGAUGAAUACGUCCCUGCCCUUGGUACACACCGCCCGUCGCUCCUACCGAUCGAAGAGUUAGGUGAAUUGUUUUGAUCGAUAAGAUUUGACUAUGGUCAACUCUCGUUGUGAAAUUCUGUGAAUCUGACUGUUUAGAGGAAGGAAAAGUCGUAACA